rnacentral:rRNA from 1 species
CCUACGGGGGGCAGCAGUGAGGAAUAUUGGUCAAUGGACGAGAGUCUGAACCAGCCAAGUAGCGUGAAGGAUGACUGCCCUAUGGGUUGUAAACUUCUUUUAUAUGGGAAUAAAACGUUCCACGUGUGGGAUUUUGUAUGUACCAUAUGAAUAAGGAUCGGCUAACUCCGUGCCAGCAGCCGCGGUAAUACGGAGGAUCCGAGCGUUAUCCGGAUUUAUUGGGUGUAAAGGGAGCGUAGGUGGAUUGUUAAGUCAGUUGUGAAAGUUUGCGGCUCAACCGUAAAAUUGCAGUUGAAACUGGCAGUCUUGAGUACAGUAGAGGUGGGCGGAAUUCGUGGUGUAGCGGUGAAAUGCUUAGAUAUCACGAAGAACUCCGAUUGCGAAGGCAGUUCACUGGACUGCAACUGACACUGAGGCUCGAAAGUGUGGGUAUCAAACAGGAUUAGAUACCCUAGUAGUC